rnacentral:rRNA from 1 species
AGUGAACGCUGGCGGUAGGCCUAACACAUGCAAGUCGAACGGCAGCACAGUAAGAGCUUGCUCUUACGGGUGGCGAGUGGCGGACGGGUGAGGAAUACAUCGGAAUCUACUUUUUCGUGGGGGAUAACGUAGGGAAACUUACGCUAAUACCGCAUACGACCUACGGGUGAAAGCAGGGGAUCUUCGGACCUUGCGCGAUUGAAUGAGCCGAUGUCGGAUUAGCUAGUUGGCGGGGUAAAGGCCCACCAAGGCGACGAUCCGUAGCUGGUCUGAGAGGAUGAUCAGCCACACUGGAACUGAGACACGGUCCAGACUCCUACGGAGGCAGCAGUGGGGAAUAUUGGACAAUGGGCGCAAGCCUGAUCCAGCCAUACCGCGUGGGUGAAGAAGGCCUUCGGGUUGUAAAGCCCUUUUGUUGGGAAAGAAAAGCAGCAGGUUAAUACCCCGCUGUUCUGACGGUACCCAAAGAAUAAGCACCGGCUAACUUCGUG